CUCAAUGAGUCACAGGACGGAGAUUGCUGGAACAUCAACUGAUCAGCUGAUGAACAAGGGAGAUCAUGGUUCGGUUGACACUAACAAGUUAUUAGCGUCCAUGCAAGAGGAGUUCAAUAAAUUGCGUCCUUUCUCCUAUGAGUGUUCAAUCUACAGGGUUCCUAAAAGACUACUCAAGUUAAAUAGAAGAGCUUAUACACCUCAAGUAGUCUCCAUCGGCCCACUUCACCUCAAGUGGUCCGAUGGAGACUAAUCGCAGUGUAAGAUUCAAAUUUUUGGCCCAAACCCCAAGUCCAAGUCAGCUCAAACCCAACUAAAGUUAAUAUAGAUAUAUAAGAAAAAGUUGCAAGAGAAUUAUUUUUCUCUCUUCCAAGUCUUAUGGCCAUCGUGACCCUCCCUCAUCAAACCAAGAAUUUUAGUUUUUAGAUCUUGAGUUUUGGGUUCAAGAAAGAUGGAAGUAGCAAGUAAGUGGUUCUCUAUCGUAUUACUUUCAAUUAUGGUUUGUUUAUGGAAAGAUUAAAGAAGAGAUUAGGUUCUAUAAGGAUUUGAAGUUUAUUUUGUUAAGAUUAAUUCAUGAUUAUUAUGGGUUUAAUGUUAAGUGAUUGAUUUUGAGUAUGUUGUUAAAAAUAAAGAUUCAUGAGUUGAUUUGUUUAAAUUGAUUUUUAUGAGUUAAGAAAUUCAUUUCAACCUUACUGGAAAAUCUGGACAGAAUGGUCUUGAGGUUGAAGAUAACAAAAUUUUAUUUUGGUCAUUGAUUUAUGAAAAUUCAGUUUAGUCCCUAAACUUUGGAAAAAUUUUAAAUUGAACCCUAAAUGUAUUUUGAGGUUCUAGAUAGUGUUUUUAUGAGGUUAAGGAUAAGGAAUCUUAGUUUGCUAAUUGAUUUAGAAUAUUUUCAGUUUGGUCCCUCAAUUUCAGGGAUUUACAUUUUAGUCCCUAAACUUUUAAAAAACUACAGUUUGGUCCAUGGUUUGUUCUGGAUAGAAUUGAGGAUGGUUAUGGGUGAAAUUUCAGUAUGAUUAUGCAUUUACAGUUUGGUCUAGUUUUGGUAAAAUUAUAUUUUUGUUAUUUAUAUUAUAUGUUUUGGAAAAUUAUCGUUUUAGUCCCUAAACUUAGGAGACUAAACCUAGUUUUCUUUCAUGCAUUGGAAUCUUUUAUUUGUGUUAUUUUGAGUAUAUUUCAUAUAUUUUUUGUAGAUUCUCCUAAAGAUCCUCAAUAGGUUUUUCGGAUCUUUCAUCUGAUAUUCCUUUUAAUCUAUAUGUUUCUGGGUGAGUGGAAUAAUCUUUAAUAUACAUAUAAUAUAAAUAAAUAUGUAUGUUGAUUAUAUAAUGAGUAUUAUUAGUUAAUCUCUUGAAUAUUUAUAUAUGUUGUUCUAUUUUUUGAGUACUCGUUUAUUCUUAAAUUUGCACUCGCAUUCUGUUGAACUAAAUUCUAUUUGAUAUGAUAUACAUUCUUUGAUGAUUAUACAAAUAUCUAUUAUGCAUUUAUAUAGGACUUGUUAGUAAAUCCAUGCUAACAGAGAGUAGUUAGCCUAUGUGCACAUAGUAUUAUGUAUACCUAGCUGGUGAGAGAGGCAUUGACUUGUGGCGACUGAUCAUCCCACAGUGUUUACCUUCGAGUGUCAUCUGGUCACCUUCGGGUGUCAUCUGAUCUCUGAAAUGUAUUCCACUACUUUAUGAUAAUAUGUAUAUGUAUAUGUAUAUCAAGAUAAAUCGACUUGCAAACUAUUAAUAUCUAAAAUGUAUAUUAGAUGUUGUUCUCUCACUGAGUUGGUUGAACUCACCUCUCAUUCUUAAUAUUAUUUCAGGUUCUUAGUUUCUGUUAGUAGGUGUACUUUGUUGAGUGUUCCUGCUUCUUUAGUUUGGUCGGAAUGCCUUACUUGUUUUGUGAGGCUUUCCUAUUAGUUUUGAUUCGAUCUCUUAGACGCUCCACUAUUACUAUGUUUUAAUUAAGUUUGGAAUUUUGACAAUGUAAUGAGUAUUAUGAAUUAUUGUUUUUGUUUUGAUUACUGAUGAGAAGUUUUGAACUAUCAUUUGAUUUCAUUAGUUUUGAAUAUUAUAAUAUUUUUGAAAAUUAUGAAAUGCUGUGUUUUUUUUAAAAUAACUUGUUCUUUUAAUAUGUCCGUUUUGAGGCUUAGCGUAGGUGAGGUGUCCUUUCGACACUGCUACUGCGUUGCUAGUCAUGAACUCGGGAUUCGGGUUAUGACACAUGGUGUGUAGGCUUUUUCAUUCAACAGACGCAGUUGAACAGGAACAUGAUUGAUACAACCUUGGUCGGAAAAAAGGGGGCAAUAUUUUCAUUUCUUCUCGCAUACACUUUGCUAACUUUGUGGGAUUCCAGCUUCAAUUGUCUUCAUACCAGAUAAAGAAAAUUAAUGCAGAACGGAAAGAGGAAGGCAGGCUACCAGUGCAUGUGAAGUCUGGAGAGUCUUUUUAGAAGUUUGCUUUAGAGCUUCUUCGAAGUAAUGAUGUUAAGGCUAUGGAGUUUGGGUUUCAUUUAAUUUGGAAUUAUAGAUAUCUAGUGGUUUGCAAAGGUGCGGUUAUCAGUGAGAGCUGCUUUGGUCUAGCGAUACUUUUCUUUGAUCAUAAUGAACAUUGUGCUGUUAAGGAAACUGUUGCGUGGUCGGUUAGUAACCCUUUGAUCAUAAUGAACAUUUUACCCCAACCUGUUUGUUUUGUAAGUUCUCUUGUGUUUUGGAUUUCGUAAAUGUUGGAUGUUUGGUUGCUAACACAUUAACAAGCUUUUAUUUUUAAA